GACAAACAACGGAGAACAAAACAAAAAAACGUUCAGCUUGGAGUGAUGGGACAGGUCUCAAAAACAUACUGUGUGGCAACUAAGAUAAACCAAAAGGACCUCGGACAAACAAAACAGAAGCACAACUAAAAGCAGGUCUCCAGGUUUCACCGCGCGGCCGCAGCCACUGGAGGAGCACAGAGAGAGAGCAGAGAGAGAAGUCCAGACCUCAACCGAGACCCAUUUAAAAACCCGACGGUGCCCCAGACCGGGGCUCUCCUGAGACGCGGGGAAGACGCUGCACUUAAGAUCCAUCAACUCCUCAUGCCCAACGCCUGAAGUAACCACUUAGGGGCGCUCAAAGAGUAUUAACAGCAUCAUUAAGAUUUCCGUUUUCACAGUGAGAAAUGUACACCUUCAUCCCAGGAAACAAGCCAUAAAGUACGUAACGCACAAUUUAAAAGCAAAUGCAUCCCAAUAAACAGAAUACAGCUAAAAGAUUAAUUCGUUGCAACAAUUUAAUCCAAAAAUUUAAAUUUUAAUUCAUUGUACAUCAAGUCAUUCACUGUGUUUCUGUUUAUAUUAGCUAUUACAGCUAAGAGCUAACAGAAAUGCAUAAUUCAUACAUAACAUUUCAUACGGAAAUGUCACCACGAUCAUCGAGAAGAGUUUGCAAUGGCUGACAACCGUCAGUCGCAGCAAAAGACAGAGUUAAAUGGAGAAAGACAUGAAGAUAUUAGCAGCAGUAGCUUAGCUUAGACUCUGUUGAGUCUAUGUCAAACAUGAAUUUUACUAGCUGAACUGAAAUACUGAAGACAAACUGAAAGAAAGCAUUUAAAUCAAUAGUUUUACUACUCACAUUUAUUCACAUUCUUGCCUUCAGUGUUUUCAAU